CGCCGCGCUGAGGCUCCCCUGGCUCGAGGAGGGGGACCGGCUCUCAGUUUGUGACAACAGCCGCCGGGGACAGUACGGCCGUGUAGCGCGCUGCGUGUCGCCCGCCUUCGUCCUCACGGCCCGCUUGUUCGCGAGCCUCGCGAGUCGAGACGAGACCCCAGUGUGAGGCAGCAUCCUUGGAGGAGCCUGCCUUGUCUUCGACGCCGCAGCCACAAGCUUCGACAGUGACUGUCGCCUCUCAGUGCUCGAAAAAAAAGUGUGUGUGAAAGUGAAUGACCAACACCGUCGGGUGUCAGUGGUGUUUAGUGCUCGACAACAGUUGCCGUGCCAAGGCAAGGGAUUAUACCGCUGUGACGUGCUUCCCCCGGUGCUGUCGACUUGUUGACAUCGCUUGUUGACUAUGCGUGCCGCCGCCGGGUGCAAGCGCCAGGACUAAACGCAACCGUCGCCGGAUUUGUGGCCGUGGAAGGCGUCCGCAGGCCCACUGGCAGCCCUGCACCAGCCUCCCCCAUCCUGGCCGCACUGGCCGCCCCCCGGCCCCGGCUCUGCUCACAUGGGUGUCCGCUACGAGUUCGGGCUGCCAUGGAGCGGCGCGGAUGAGCGGCGAGCCCUGCCCGCCCUGCCGAGCCUGCCGCUGCCCGCGCUGUCGCACGGACUGGCCGCCAGC